rnacentral:tRNA from 1 species
GAGGGUAUAGCUCAAAUGGUAGAGUGCAUGCUUAGCAUGCAUGAGGUCCUGGGUUCAAUCCCCAGUACCUCCU